CAAAUUUGGCCUGUGAGAAUAAAGUCAUAUUUUGAAACCUAUGUGAUAUGUGAUGUUGUGAUGAAAGAAAAACCCUUACAACCUCUCUCUGCAAAUCAUACAAAAGUUCAGAUUAAAGCACUUUCAAAAAAACUUCUACACAAGACAAUGUCAUUGCAUGUGUUUUUGAAGAACAAAAUCAAAAGAAGAAAAAGAAAAAAGAAGAAAUUUUGCAAGUUCAAUAACAAUGAAAAAAAAUCCAGCAUCAACUACCAAAGCAAAAAUUGAGGAG
rnacentral:lncRNA from 1 species